UACAGAGGUGCUCAAGCGUUUGUUCGGAUUCAUUGGGGCGUAAAGGGUGCGGUAGGGCGGCGCGGAUGAAGUCAGGGUGGUCGAAACUCUCGAGCUUAACUCCGAAAACUGCAUUCGUAUACUGCCGAUGCUUGGAGGACUGGGAAGAGGAGACGUGGAAUUUAACGGUGUAGCGGUGAAAUGCGGUAGAUAUCGUAAGGAAGACCAGUGGCGAAGGCGGGUCUCUGGACAGUUCCU
rnacentral:rRNA from 1 species